rnacentral:rRNA from 1 species
UGAGGGUCGAAAGCGUGGGGAGCAAACAGGAUUAGAUACCCUGGUAGUCCACGCCGUAAACGAUGGGUACUAGCUGUUGGGCAGAGAUGCUUAGUGGCGAAGCUAACGCGAUAAGUACCCCGCCUGGGGAGUACGGCCGCAAGGUUAAAACUCAAAGGAAUUGACGGGGACCCGCACAAGCGGUGGAGCAUGUUGUUUAAUUCGAUGCAACGCGAAGAACCUUACCUAGACUUGAUCCCUAUCAUAGCUCUUGUAAUGAGAGUGUCAGUUCGGCUGGAUAGGUGACAGAUGCUGCACGGCUGUCGUCAGCUCGUGUCGUGAGAUGUUCGGUUAAGUCCGGCAACGAGCGCAACCCUCACUUCUAGUUGCCAGCAUUCAGUUGGGCACUCUAGAGGAACUGCCAGGGACAACCUGGAGGAAGGUGGGGACGACGUCAAGUCAUCAUGGCUCUUACGUCUAGGGCUACAAACGUGCUACAAUGGUGCAUACAAAAGGAAGCGAAGCCGCGAGGUGGAGCAAAUCCCAAAAAUGCAUCUCAGUUCGGAUCGUAGUCUGCAACUCGACUACGUGAAGUUGGAAUCGCUAGUAAUCGUGAAUCAGAAUGUCACGGUGAAUACGUUCCCGGGUCUUGUACACACCGCCCGUCACGCCACGGGAGUUGAUUCUACCCGAAGCCGGUAGCCUAACCUGUUUACAGGAGGGAGCCGACCACGGUAGGGUUAGCGACUGGGGUGAAGUCGUAACAAGGUACCCG